rnacentral:lncRNA from 1 species
CAAUGUGACACCUGCAGGUCUCAGCUGUGCUGCUCCCUGCUGAACUGGCCUGGAGUCAGCUGGAGCUCUGUCAUCUGGACCGGCCUCAGCUGAAACAACCAUUCUGGGACAGAUCCAGGGUUAGAGGCUUCACUGGGCACAACACAAAUAUCAGUCUUUAUACUAACCUCAUGUCUUUUAGCUGGACAGAGGGCAAUAAAGAACCGGAGGACAGAUUUAUGUGACAUCCAGAUUUAAAGUGUGGCCGUUAAGAGACUAUUAGGGUUAAAAAAAAAAAAAAAGUUCUGGGUUCAGUAUUUGAGUUCUACUUAUCUAACACACUUAGCAACGACAUUUCUGCCAUUAUUUAUUACUGAUUGUUGGAUUAUAGACUGGGUGUGGUUUCUGUUACUGGUUUCUGUAGGAAUGAAAGCCCAACAAUCAUUCUGACUCAUGCUGACUUCAACUAAGUUUCAAUUACCCUAAAACUGGCAAAGAUGUGUUGAGGUGGGCUUUUGGCUUCAUAGCAAACAGUUACAACAUACCAACCUUUCUCUCAACUCAGCUGUGCCUAUAAAUGUGCAUAUAAAUCCAACUCUUCAUAUCAUCCUAAUAGAAGCAUUAUAGAAAACUUCUACCCCUAUGGUGUGUAUGAAUAAGUAAAUACUGUUAGCAUGUAUAAUUUUGCUGUAAAAAUGGCCAUCUAAUGCUGCGUUAAAGUCAGCUGUCGGAGCUGGGAAUGACAUUACACCCGAGUUGACGGCAUCCCAGUAAACAAGUCCGAAGAACCAAGAUGGACGCUUACUGUUAGUCGUUGUUAACUGUUAUUAACACUUGCCAGUUGUCGUUAGCCGUUGUCAGCUGUUGUUAGUUGUUAGCUAUAUCAGUUGUAAACAACACAUAACACAGUAUUUUACUCUUACAAACGCACAGUUAGACUUUGGGCAGUACAACAUAUACCACUUAUUUAAUUUCACAAAAACACAACAGAAGUGUGAAUAAAUAAUAUAUUACAAGAGCUUUCACUGUUACUGUUCACUAUUGAUGCACUGAGCUGCCAUCUUGAAUGAUGAUGUUGUCGUCAAGUUGGGGUUGGUGAUGAUUGUCCAAUUUUACGAGUCAGAAAUCCAACUUCAGGGGGGCCUUCCAGAUGAAUUUCCGACUCCAAGCUCAGAAAACCCGACUUCCGAGUACAACUGGAACGCAGCAUUAAUACGGGACCCAAUAGGAAUUUCUAGCCUUCAAUGGCCAGCCUUAAGAUGACACUCAAAGAAUUGCAGUUUUUUGUUGCACUCAAGUAUUUGCCUCAUCUUUAAAUUGAAAGAUGGUUUUGUUUGCUUUUCACUAUCCUACACAGACAUCAAUAAAGAUUUCAAACUUUUUCAUAAACAUCAAAAACUCCUAAAAGGAGCUUAACUAUGAAAAAAAAAAAAGAGUUUUCUCUUUUUACUGGUCAACAGUUGUAUUACAGGUAAACCAUGCACACAGAAUUCUCUCAAAGUUUCCUUCAAAUUUAUUUUAAUACAAUAAAAUCCUUACAAACAAAGAACUGCUAUUUAUGUCCCUCUGGAAAGAAAGAAAAAAACUGUUUGGGGGUGACACUGGCCAAACAUUUCACACACAGGCCCAUAUAUGACGGUUAUGCCUGAAAAUUUUCCAAUAUUUUCAUGUGCUCCACCCCAGAAAUUUUCCAAAAUUACUUGUUGACACAUGUCCCUUACAACAUAAAAUGUUCCCUGUAUAGAAGGGCUGGAAAUGACUCUCCCUUGAUAGAUAGCCUGAAUCUAAAUUACUCUUAAGCUGUUUCUCUGUUGAAAUGAAAAACAUGCAUAAAAGAAAAUAACAGAAAAUAAAAUCUUCAAUACAAUAGUAAAUGUCAAGGACAUUGCUAGGAAAAAAACAAAGGAGCAAGGAUAGGAAAUGGAAAGCUUUAGAUUGAUCUCAUAGAGCUUGUUGCGGUCUAAGUGUAACUGACAAAAAUCCCACAUAGACGCAGCAAAUAAACUCUGCUGGUGUGUGACAGCCUCCUGCAUGUCCUCUUCCUCUCAUCAGGCAGAACUUGUGAUCACAGACUGAUAUCAUCACACAAACGUCUCCCUGUCACAUCACAUUUUUGCUGCUUCUGUCUGACUUCUGUCUCUCCAGGCCCGAGUGGCGGCAGACCAUGCUAACCAGCGCGACGCCAUCGGAAGCUAAUAAAUCAUCUGUGGUUUUAUUUCAGAUUUAUUCGGACCGUAAUGAAGACGCGAUGGGCCCCGGGCUGUAACCGACGGCGACAGGGUGACACUGAUGAAUGGCUGAAGGUGCGUUCUCUACAGUCGGAAGGAGAGGGAGGACUGUCAGGCUGUGUGGGUGUGCUGUGAGUGUGUGUAUGUGUGUGUGUGACAGUGGGUAGGAUCAGUAGCACCCCAGAGAUCGGUUAUAUUACACAUUAAGCGUGUGAUAUAACUGCGUCUCAUCAAAAAUAUAAUAACUCUUUACAAAGACCAUGGACUGC